GAUUAGAUAUGUAAUUGACCUUAAAAAAUUUUAAUCCUCUCUUUUCCUUAUAAUCAGUGAAAACAGAUUUUUCUCAUUAACAAUUUUCCUGGUACACACAUAAUUUAUCGAUAUUAUAAAUGACACAAAAUAAACAUAGAUUAAAAUAAUGGAAAAUUGGCCAUUAAUGUUAAUAAUAUGAUAAUAAUCUUUUUCUUUUUUUUUUUUAAUUCGCAAUAUUUCCUCAAGACAACAGGAAUUUUUUACGUUUUGUAAGUAUAUAAACCCCUAGCAUUUUCUAAAAUUUACUCAAUUCUCUUUCAGUUCUCUUGAGCGAUUAUUGAACUCUUAAACAAAAAUCAAAAUGGCCAGUUUUCAAUUUUGCGGACUAUUGGCAAUGUUAAUUGCUACAAUUAUUAUGUUACUUGCCCCUAAUGCAUUGGCGAAAAUUGCCAAUGGACAAAAUUGUCAACCUGAUGGAAGUAUGGGCAUAUGUGAAUCAAACUAUUGUCAUAAAGAAGUAGGCUGGGGUAUAGGACACUGCAGAUAAACAAAAUAUUAUGCCAAUGAUUGCCAAAUUAAAAAAAAAAAUUAUAAAAUUAAAAUUUUUUAACUAUGUUGAUUUCUUUAUAUUCAGAAUUUAUUUGCAUUUAAUUAUAAAAAUUUCAUAAAGAGAAACUUGUGCAAAAAAAUUAAUUUAUCAUAUCUGAAAUAAAACUUUUUUUGCUUUUAAA